UUCUGGCUCAGGAUGAACGCUAGCUACAGGCUUAACACAUGCAAGUCGAGGGGCAUCAUGGAGUUUGCUUGCAAACUCUGAUGGCGACCGGCGCACGGGUGAGUAACGCGUAUCCAACCUUCCCUAUAGUAGAGGAUAGCCCGGCGAAAGUCGGAUUAAUACUCUAUGUUUUCCGUUGCAGACAUCUAAGAUGGAACAAAGGCUUGCCGCUAUAGGAUGGGGAUGCGUCUGAUUAGGUAGUCGGCGGGGUAACGGCCCACCGAGCCAUCGAUCAGUAGGGGUUCUGAGAGGAAGGUCCCCCACAUUGGAACUGAGACACGGUCCAAACUCCUACGGGAGGCAGCAGUGAGGAAUAUUGGUCAAUGGGCGAGAGCCUGAACCAGCCAAGUAGCGUGCCAGGACGACGGCCCUAUGGGUUGUAAACUGCUUUUAUGCGGGGAUAAAGUUCACUACGUGUAGUGUUUUGUAGGUACCGCAUGAAUAAGGACCGGCUAAUUCCGUGCCAGCAGCAGC
rnacentral:rRNA from 1 species